ensembl:lncRNA
GCAGAUUUUUGGACAAGCGCGCGCUAAAAACAAUAAUGAAUUCAUACAGUCAGACGGCGCCAAAGAAAAAAGCAGCAUGGAGCCGCUUCCCAUGAAAAUGUUAAUGGGACUGAGCCCUUCUCCUCCCUCACACAAUAACCCUAAAAAUGAUCUCCUGCCUCUUGGGCUGAAUCGCCUCCGCGGAUUUAAACUAAACUCUAAACUGCUACCGAGUCCUUUUCACAGCGGGAGGCCUCAGACUUCCAAACGGGCUCAGAUCUCUGAGGAAAAUCUCUGCCUGCUGACCUUUGACCUUUAAGUUGGGAGGCAUUGGAAAUAUACCAGUCCUGAUGCCUUCAAAUCAACUGCCGAUAAAAUUAAAUGUUUAAUCAAUUAUUAAAGGUCCAUUAUCCAUCCUAUAGAAACUACAUAAGCUUUUAAUACCUUUACAUCUAAAUUUGUUUAUGAAUGCAUGUGAUCUACAAUUAAAGAGCUGUUUAUUUGGAUGUAAUGAGAACUAAAGGUUGAGACAAUUUAAUAAAUGUAUAUAUGUGCGUAUAUAUAUUUGUACUUGUGUUGAGAUGAGUAAGUUAUUUCAAUAUUAAAUACUGCAGGAAAUGUUAGAAACACUGAUCGUAUGAAGGCUGAAAUAAAUGGAGAAAUUAAGGUUCUGGUUGCCCUGGAACGCGUGAGAAGACGCGCGUGCACGCUGGGCAGUUGGUUGCCUUCGUCGGGAGGCGAGAGGAGGAAGAGGGGGAGGAAGAGGCCGCCUCCACGCACAGAGGUCCCGUCAGUCGCGCACCAACCGCCACUGCCGUCCACGUCGCGUCCGCGUCUCCAUCCACCCGCGCACGGAGGCGCGCAGGAAGCCACGUGGUGUUGAAGAUGUUCCUGCCAGCUUCUCCUUCCCUGAUCCUGAGGAGUUCUGCAGGAUUCAGGCAUAUUUGAACGUUUGAGGCACGAUGGAGUCACAUGGGUAAGUUAUUAUGCAUAAGUUUGUACUUAUUGUUGUCAUUUCCGUUGUCAAUUAUGCCAAUUUCCAAAUACUUUUGGAUUAAGUGGCACUUCGAUGAUGCUUCUGUCCUGUUUCAGGAGGGUCCCUCCAGAUUCAGAGGUUACGUAAGUGACAUGAGCAUGUGUCCGUGAUCCUAGUACUCAAAAUAGUUGAUGUCAGAUCUAUCAUGAGGUCUGAUCAGGUGACCAGCGGUCUGAACAGGUGACCAGCGGUCUGAACAGGUGACCAGCGGUCUGAACAGGUGACCAGCGGUCUGAUCAGGUGACCAGCGGUCUGAUCAGGUGACCAGCGGUAUGAACAGGUGACCAGCGGUCUGAUCAGGUGACCAGCGGUAUGAACACACGUCCUGUGUCUCCACAGUAUCGCUGCCUGUUCCUAAACAGGAGCAUUUCUACGAUCACCAGAGUGGUUCCGGUUACCUGGAACGGAGCUUAAACUGUCCAGCGACACUUGAAGAUCAAGGAAUCCAAGGCUGCUUUUCCAGGUGGCUGUUUGCUUAAUUUUCACCUUCUGUUCCCAUUAAAUCCUGGAGAGCCGUCGCUAUGCUGACGAUGGUCAGGGACAGUGGAGACUAGAGUUCAUGCGUCUUUUGGGCCUUUUUAUAUGUUCUGUGAGAUCUGCCCAAAGUGUAAUUAGUAAUUUGGUCAUUUAACCUAGAAAUGUGAUGUUAUCUGGGAAUUCCCAGGAUAGUUGAGUCCGUUUAAAAGGAACGUGUCAUCAGUUUAUCUGGUUAUCACGUGGCAGUGCGUAUUGAGUUUUGAAUAUGACACAUUUCACUGGUUCAUCUCCUUGUGCAACUUCUUCCCGUUCCUCCAGACCACCGUGCUGAUGUCGGAGCCAGAAUUCUUCACGGCGCUGUUGGAGGAGGAACACAUCUUGGACUGUCCCGUUACACCUGCAAGGUGAGCCUGGAUGAUGUUUUUAAUGCACAUACUCUGGUUACACAUGGACGGUAUUGGUUCUCAUCCUAUCGGCCAUUUUGAGUUUGAGCCGAUGUUGUCGUUGGAGCCUCCUGGGACUGUCGAUGCACACGGUCCCGUCGAGAUAAAGGAAAUCUGGACCUGUG